rnacentral:lncRNA from 1 species
GGUCACAGCCACUAAGUUGUCCAUACAAAAGAAAAACAAACACACGAAAAACAGAAAACAACUUGAGUUUUUGAGAGUAUGGAGAAAUUGGAACCCGUGUAUAUUGUUAGUUCAGUUCAGUUCAGUCUCUCAGUCAUGUCCGACUCUUUGCUACCCCAUGAAUUGCAGCACGCCAGGCCUCCCUGUCCAUCACCAACUCCCAGAAUUCACUCAAACUUAUGUCCAUCGAGUCAGUGAUGCCAUCCAGCCAUCUCAUCCUCGGUCGUCCCCUUCUCCUCCUGCCCCCAAUCCCUCCCAGCAUCAGAGUCUUUUCCAAUGAGUCAACCCUUCGCAUGAGGUGGCCAAAGUACUGGAGUUUCAGCUUUACCAUCAUUCCUUCCAAAGAAAUCUCAGGGCUGAUCUCCUUCAGAAUGGACUGGUUGGAUCUCCUUGCAGUCCAAGGGACUCUCAAGGGUCUUCUCCAACACCACAGUUCAAAAGCAUCAAUUCUUCGGCGCUCAGCUUUCUUCACAGUCCAACUCUCACAUCCAUACAUGACCACUGGAAAAACCAGACGGACCUUUGUUGGCAAAGUAAUGUCUCUGCUUUUCAAUAUGCUAAGUUGGUCACAACUUUUCUUCCAAGGAGUAAGAGUCUUUUAAUUUCAUGGCUGCAGUCACCAUCUGCAGUGAAUGGAUAUACAAAUUGUGCUAUGUUCACUGCAUGGAAUAUUUUUAAGCCAUAAAAGAUACUGAUAUAUACUACAGCAUAAAUGAAACUUGGAAACAGUGCUAAAUGAAAAGA